GUUUUUAUAGUGUAGUGUAGCACAUUAGAUUUUCAAUCUUUUAGGAUAUUUUAUAAUAUUAAAAAUA
rnacentral:tRNA from 3 species